CGAAAGCCUGACGGAGCAACGCCGCGUGGGGGAAGAAGGUUCUUGGAUUGUAAACCCCUUUUCUCAGGGAAGAAGUUCUGACGGUACCUGAGGAAUCAGCCUCGGCUAACUCCGUGCCAGCAGCCGCGGUAAUACGGAGGAGGCAAGCGUUAUCCGGAAUCAUUGGGCGUAAAGCGUCCGCAGGGGGCUCAUCAAGUCUGCUGUCAAAGGUCGGAGCUCAACUCCGGUUCGGCAGUGGAAACUGGUGAGCUAGAGGGCGACAGGGGUAGAGGGAAUUCCCAGUGUAGCGGUGAAAUGCGUAGAGAUUGGGAAGAACACCGGUGGCGAAAGCGUUCUGCUGGGCCGCACCUGACCCUGAGGGACGAAAGCCAGGGGAGCG
rnacentral:rRNA from 1 species